rnacentral:sRNA from 1 species
GCCUCCGCCUCCGCCUCCGUCAUCGACCGUUCGAGCGAGCUCCGCUAGGGCGCCUCCGCCGCCGGCCGCCAGGUCCGCCUUCUCCUCCGCCACCGGCCGCCAGGUCCGCCGCCUCCGCCACCAGCCGCCCGGGCGCCUCGCCUCCGCCGCCGGCCGCCUAGUCCGCCUCCGCGUCCACCCAUCACCGCCGCGCGGAGGGGAGGCAGCGGGAGGAGGAGGAGGCGAGGAGGAGGGAGUUGGCGAGGAAGGUGGUGGGCGGGAGCGGGGAGGAGAGGAGGAGGCGGAGGCGGUGGGAGACGGGGAGGAGAGGGGAGGCGAGGCGGAGGAGGAGGGAGAAGUUGGGGGAAUGGCGCGCGAGGCCGGCGGUGAGGACGAGAGCGUGGAGCUGCGCGAAGAGGCGCGCCGGGAGCGGGAGCGCGUCGCGGCGGCGGAG